GGUGUAGAUUGUAGUACGAAAAAUUCAAUGAGAAUACAGAAAGGCCAUGUGACCAAACUUCUCAAAAGGGAAUUUUUGGAGGAGGAAUAUUCAUGUGAGGCUCAGAGGAGAAGUCAUUUACUCAGGUUACAAUUACUAUUUGAGUAGGUUGAUGGUCCUUGACUCUGCUCCAGAAAAUAUUUUGCAAGUCUAUUAUAAGAAAGGAGGACUUCCUUCCACCUUGAAUGGAAAAAGAGAAGGGAGGCGGACAACACUCACGACCAUCCUAUUCGUGGAUAGAGUUGCUCUAUAUUCUCAAGGAGUUGGUUUAAAGGAUGACGAUACAAAUGGGAUAAGAAGUAACCC